rnacentral:rRNA from 1 species
ACUGGCGGUCAGAGCGAGGGGGUUACACCCGUACCCAUCCCGAACACGGAAGUAAAGUCCCUCAGCGAUCCGGUCGGUACUGCCUUACAGGCGGGAGUUCCGGGACGCUGCCAGAC